AUUGAACGCUAGCGGCAGGCCUAACACAUGCAAGUCGAGCGAGCGGCGGACGGGUGAGUAAUGUAUGGGGACUUCCCGAUAGAGGGUGAUCACUAAUGGAAACGGUGUCUAAUACCGCAUACUAUCGGAUAACCCAUAUUGGAUUAGCCAGUAGGUGGGGUAAAGGCUCACCUAGGCGACGAUCUCUAACUGGUCUGAGAGGAUGAUUAGCCACACUGGGACUGAGACACGGCCCAUAAUCCUACGGAGGCAGCAGUGGGGAAUAUUGCACAAUGGGAGCAAGCCUGAUGCAGCCAUGCCGGGUGUAUGAAGAAGGCCUUAGGGUUGUAAAGUACUUUCAGCGGGGAGGCGUUACCCGCAGAAGAAGCACCGGCUAACUCCGUGCCAGCAGCCGCGGUAAUAC
rnacentral:rRNA from 1 species